UGGGGAAUAUUGCACAAUGGGCGAAAGCCUGAUGCAGCAACGCCGCGUGAGUGAUGAAGGCCUUCGGGUUGUAAAGCUCUGUCUUUUGGGACGAUAAUGACGGUACCAAAGGAGGAAGCCACGGCUAACUACGUGCCAGCAGCCGCGGUAAUACGUAGGUGGCAAGCGUUGUCCGGAUUUACUGGGCGUAAAGGAUGCGUAGGCGGAUUUUUAAGUGAGAUGUGAAAUACCCGGGCUUAACUUGGGUGCUGCAUUUCAAACUGGGAAUCUAGAGUGCGGGAGAGGAGAAUGGAAUUCCUAGUGUAGCGGUGAAAUGCGUAGAGAUUAGGAAGAACACCAGUGGCGAAGGCGAUUCUCUGGACCGUAACUGACGCUGAGGCAUGAAAGCGUGGGUAGCAAACAGGAUUAGAUACCCUGGUAGUCCACGCCGUAAACGAUGAGUACUAGGUGUAGGAGGUAUCGACCCCUUCUGUGCCGCAGUUAACACAAUAAGUACUCCGCCUGGGAAGUACGAUCGCAAGAUUAAACUUAAAUGAAUUGACGGGGUCAUGCUGUUUCCU
rnacentral:rRNA from 1 species